UUUAGGAAGUCCCCCUCCAUUAUUUCCUCUGAAAAUCAAACACUAUAUAUACUUUAAUGUUAAAAAUAAUAAUAAUAAAUACAUAUAGAAAAAUAAAGAUAUCAAUUAUCAAUAUCAUAACUAAAUGAGAACUGGCUGUGUGCGCAAAUUUUACCAUGACAAUUUUUUUUUUCCAACGACACUUAUUUGCUAAAUCUUAAAAGAAUUCCCAGUUAUUUUACUCGUUCGGUCAGAAAACGCGUAUGUCUCCCUAGGGUUUGUAAAAAGAUAAAUAGACUACUUGUAUUUUUGUUUAGGGUUAGGGCUCCAUUAUACGCCUUUCUUUGACGAGGACAUUUUUCCCUGAUAUUUUCAGCCCAGCCUCAGAUGAUGAAAUUCUCAGGUAACAGCGUAAAUAGCAUUAUGUGAUCGAUUGUUUUUCUUUGUUGUUACAGUGUUGAGGUUUAUGGCGGGUGGUGUGAUUGAGUUUGUAGGUGACGCAACUGUGUAUCACAAAGUACGAUGGAAACUUGUUGACGAAUUUUUUGUCAAGAAUGGACGGAAUUGGAAAGAUCGUGAUAAUUCUUUAGCUGCACUGAAAAUUCUAAACCAUUGGGUUGUUGCUGUAUAUAUUUUUACCACAAAGUCUACACUAUCAAGGUCUUAUUGCUCAUUGUACUAGAUACGAGACUCUAAACUUCAAGAUCUUGUUCAUAAUACUAGAUAAGGCCCUUAUUUUAUAUUGGAAAUUUGUCUACACGUGCCAAAAACCUCUAUGAUAAUCGGAACGAAACUCUUGUUCAUUAUAUUAGAUAAUACCCAGAUAAGACCCUUGUUUAUUGUUCUACAUGUCCCAAAGAUCUUUAGGAUCAACGGAAUGAAAAACAAAGUAAUGUGAAGCAAAAGAUUGCAGCGAUUGGUUGCCAUCUAUGCAAGCAUAUGUCUAAUUGCUACUUUGUGCAUAUAUGAAACUCAAACUAGUUAUUUAGAUAACUAGUAUUCCCAUUUCAUUCUUUUUUUUAUUUUUUUAUUUAAAUUGGUAAGUUUGGUUCUCUUUUUUGAUGUUACAUUUUGUUAAAUUGUCACUUAGUUAUCUUUUUUUGUGUAACUUUUUGUUUAGUUGCCAGUAUUAAGGUCAUUUGAGGUUAUCUACCUAGCUCUUGCACUUUCUUUGAGUAACCAGGUUUUCAAAACUAAUUCUCUCAAAAUGCUUUGCUUUACUUUUGGAAUUCUGUAAUUUGUUUUUAUUUUAGAAAUUUUUACUUCUGUUGAUAUAAAUUGUUGAAUUUACUCAAGGAGUCAUAUUGUAGUAAAAGAUUUAAGGUGGAAUCUAAUUCAAGGACCUGCUUUGGUAAAAAUUGAAUCCUUUGUGUUUUUUAUUUGAUAUGGUAAUUGAGGGUUCGAUGGGGCCUCACCCAAAGAAGAGCAAAAAAGAUAUGAAUCACACAUAAGAUCCAUGUAAUAACCCUUAACGGAAAAUUAUGAUAACACCAAUCGAUCAAAACUUUACUACAAUCAUAUCUACAACUUCCCAGUAGAUAAGCAGCAGAAAACAACCCAGAUCUGAUAUAUUAAUUCAGGAGAAAACUGGUGCUAUAAUUAAACUUUAAUCACUUUUAUUAUUCAGUAAAUUAAAGAGUACAUAUGAUACCCGAUUUGCAGAGUAUACUAAAGGCCUUAUCUAGCUGGCCUGGUACUGAUUCUGAAAAACACAACUUACAGCAGGGAGAAGAAUUCUGUUUCCACGCAAUUUGUACAGUUCUAACAUCCUCUGGAUGAUGACUUUCCUCUUAUCUUACGCAGUUACUCAGAUGGAUAUGAAUUAUGGUGAGCCAUAGGUAAUCGCUGAUUCCCCCAAUGUCUGAUUCAUCUGAGGGUAAUUGUGGGUUUCUUCAAUGUUGGAUCCUCUAUUUGGCACUAUGGGAAAACUCCCUACUCUGAUCUGGACAUUGCUUUGCUAGUGUUAAUACAGCAAAAUAAUGGAUUGCAACUGCCACGCCUGACAGCAGGAGGCUUAAAUACUUUUGUUGGAUGCUGGAAUUGUCUCUUCCCCUGAUUCUCGACUCUUAUUUCUGGGAUUGCUUUUGAUUUCGUUUGAUUUCGUUAACUUCGUUAAUUCUGUAAUUGCAGCCUCAAAAUUUUAGGUGAAGGGAUAUUGGACUUCAUUUAACUUUUUUUAAGUUCUUGUUUAUGAUUUAUAUAGUUCACAAGCCAUGUAUUUUAAUUGGCAACUACAGUAGGUAAGGUCUCCUGUUGUUCCAUGAUUAUGCUCAUGUCUGAGUUCUAUAUAAUCCAUGAAUAAACAAAUUCUUUUGACAACAACCAAAUACAAUUAAACAUUGUUCUCGGCAUUGGUAUUAGUGUACAAACGUAAUUGACAUCUCAAUUUUAUAAUAUGAUUUCAACAUCAUGAUAUGGAUUUUUGUUUGUUAACAGUUAGAGUGAAGAAGCAACAGAACAAAGGAAUGGAGUUGCUCAAGAUGACAACAACAUCGAACAUCAUGGUGGUUUGCUUUUUCAAUGGCUUUGGCAAAACAACACUGGCCAUUGUUGGUAUUUCCAGAGGCUUUGGGAAGACAACUCUAGCAAUUGCUGUUGUUUUUGAAAGCUUUGGCAAGACGACAAUAGCGAUUGUUAUUGUAUUUGUAAGUUUCGGAAAAACAACUCUAGCAAUUGUCAAUGUACCCAAAAGAAUUGGAAAGACCACGCUAGCCAUUGUUGGCAUAUUUAAAAGCUUCGGAAAAACAACUCUAGCGAUUGUUGGUGUUUCUAGAGGCUUGGGGAAGACAACACUAGCCACUGUUGGCAUAAUUAAAAGUUUUGGGAAAACAACACUAGCAAUUGAUCUUGUUUUUGGAGGCUGUGGUAAGACAACACUAGCCAUUUUUGGUGUUUUCAGAAGCUUUGGAAAAACAGCACUAGCAACAGAUGAUGUUUUUAUGGGUUUUCUUUGUGAUUUUCCAAGAGGCUUCGGCAAAACAACACUAGCUAUUAUUGACGUUUUUAGAAGCUUUGACAAAAGAGCAUUGUUUUUUUGGUUGAGGUUUGUAUAAACUUGGGUAAAAUCCCUGAUUAACACUAGAUUGCCAAGUUAGAUCUCAAGGAAUACAAUUUUUGUCAACUGUUGGUGCAUUUAUAAGACAGUUAUUUUUUACCUAAAUAAUUAUGUAAUUUAUCAUAUUUAUCGGGAAACAUGUAAGACAUUAAGUAAUUGAAUAUUGAGAGGCAAUCAAGAGCAUUGUUUUA